AUCAUUAAUAUUUCAAUUAACUUUACAGUCUCAUACUUCAAUAUAAAAGUAACUCAUUUAACCCUACAAAAAUCUACAUUUUGACUUGAACUUAUUAAUAUUUUACAUUUACUCUUAUCUAUUAAUUAAUAAUAAAUAAUAAAUUAAACAGCAAUACAUAAAAAUCAUUCAUAGAUAAAAUUUAAUGUGUAAUAUCAUUUUAAAUAAACAAGUUCCUCAGAAUUUAACUAAAUACCGCCAAUAUUUUUUAAAUUAAUUCGAAAGACAAAUAAAAUUUUGAUAAUAAUUUUCACUAAAAAUAAUAGGGUAUCUAA
rnacentral:rRNA from 1 species